CAGUGAGGAAUAUUGAGCAAUGGGCGCAAGCCUGACUCAGCAACGCCGCGUGGAUGAUGAAGGCCUUCGGGUUGUAAAAUCCUUUUCUGCGGGAAGAUAAUGACGGUACCGCAGGAAUAAGUUCCGGCUAACUACGUGCCAGCAGCCGCGGUAAAACGUAGGGGACAAGCGUUAUCCGGAUUUACUGGGCGUAAAGCGCCCGUAGGCGGCCUUUCAAGUUGGAUGUGAAAGCUCCUGGCUUAACUGGGAGAGGUCAUUCAAAACUGGGGGGGCUAGAGGAUGGAAGAGGAGAGCGGAAUUCCCGGUGUAGUGGUGGAAUGCGUAGAGAUCGGGAGGAACACCAGUGGCGAAAGCGGCUCUCUGGUCCGUACCUGACGCUGAGGGGCGAAAGCGUGGGGAGCGAACGGGAUUAGAUACCCCGGUAGUCCACGCUGUAAACGAUGGAUACUAGGUGUAGGCGGUCAUUAACCCCGUCUGUGCCGCAGCCAACGCGUUAAGUAUCCCGCCUGGGGAGUACGGCCGCAAGGUUA
rnacentral:rRNA from 1 species